GUGACCGGAAAAAGCACAGAGCAGCAUUUCACUGCGACUGACGAGGUUUUCUCACCGAAAGAUUGAAACAGGAAACAACCAUGGUCUGACUGAUAAUAAAAGCUAGCAUCUACGUGGUCCGGAGGAUCCGGGCUUCCAUCGCUGCUGGAGAGCAACUGGAGAAGCCCAUCAUCACACCAUGUAGUGCUAUUGCUGAAAUGAGAGCGGGGCAUGGGUCGAGUGGAAGCUCCCCAGCGGCUGCACUGAUCCCAGGACCUGAAGAAGGUGACGGUGGAGCGGCAGGCUCGGGGACGUCCUCAGAGACAGCUGUGCAGAAAUGUGGCUCCUGACGUUAAAGACCACGCUGGACACUGGGACACUGGUCACUGCAAUGGAAAAAUAUAAUUUUUCAUCUUUGUGUAUUUGUUUUAGUUGACAAUAAUACUUAUCCAGGAACAUUCCAACUACAUACAGAAUAAUUUAGAUGCAAUGGUCAACAUUAAUUUGUCAAAACUAAAAUAGUGCAAACAAACCCUUGUGGACUGAAAUACAAAGACCAUUAUUUUAUUGCUUUCCAGUGUCCCUGCUGUCCUCAGGGGCCAAUGUCCAGCUCUUAAUGACACACAUUCAUGUCUUUGUCACAGCUGACAUUUUGACUUACCAUAGGAAAAAAACAACUAACGAUAAGGAGGACUCUUUGGCUUUUGAUGAACUACACACAAUACGACAGGCACCUGAAUGUAAUGGAGACAUCGAUGUUAUUAAAUGUAUGUGGGUAGUCAACAUGUUCUCUGUGAGAAAGGCCUGUGUUUAUGUACUGCAGUGUUUGAAGGCCGGAUCUCUCCAACCUCUCUCCAGGGGCUGAGCACGCCUGAUGUUUCUGCUGCUGUAUCAAUAAAUACAUAAUAAUGAUGUUUGUACACAUUCAUAUGGAAAUUAUUAUAAGGCUGAGUGUAAUGCCCAAUAAUUGAAAUGUUUUUUUCAUGACAUUUUGACUUGUCAUAGUAGGAAAGGCUCAGGUUUAAAAAGAAACAUGAAUAAUGACAACAGCAGGGAACACCUGAAAGGGUUCAGCCAUCAUUAAUAGUACUAACUACACCUGUGCUAUUCCUGGUAUAACAUGUCAAACUAUCUCUUGUAUAAAAGGUCUUCGUAGUUACCAUAAAAAGCACAAAAGAAAAUGAUCUAAAGGGGCGAAUGCAGAUAACAAUAUGCACUUUUGUCUGAGAUUUAAACUACAUUUGUGCAAAAACAGGUCAGGGUGUUCAGACAAACCUAUUUAAUAACAAUAGUCCUUCUUAAGAUGGACUUUGCAGCUGUACGGACCCUACUGGAAUGCAAUACUGGUUUUGUUUACGGUCAGACAGGGAAAGUCAAAAGUGGGGAACACAUCGUUAUUGACACCUAGGCCUGUGCUACAAGGUGGUAAAAACAGCUGCUGACUGCACAACCUCUAAUUGUACAUUCAACCAAUGAACAUUUAUGUAUUUUGGUAUGUUGAUUUAAUAGCACGAGGUACAUAUCUUACUUAACUCCAAAGCUGUACUAUUCUCUUCCCCCAUGAUAGCAACAUAAUUAUUGCCAGAACAAUAUAGCCUGUUCCCAUACCGGUCUACAGCCUCACAGCAGUGCUCUGAACUAAUUCCUUAUGUUGGCUUGGU